GACUUUUGUCAUUGGAAACUUAUUUGCUGGUUUGGUUGAGAAGUGUAGCAAUCUCCCACAAUGGCGGAGCCUGAGAAUCCUGGAGUCCUUGACCACACGUUGAAGCCCUUUUACCAGAGAGCCUCCGAAGCCGAGGAUCGCUUAACAAGACUUGAAGCUGCUCUUGCUAGCAAGCAAGAUUCUGGAAAUAAAGAUCAUUCAAAGUUGAACAGUGAACUUCAAGAAAAGAUCAAGAAGCUCGCUGCAGAGAAUGCAAAGCUCCAAUACCGCAUCCACCAUCUUGUUCAGGCAGUUAGAGAUGCUGAUCUCAAGUUAGAGAAAAAGUAGAUGUAGGAGCAAUCUGGGAUCACUGGAUAUGUUGCUAUGCAGGAUUGAAAUCAUAGAACUUGUAUUCAAACAGUUUUUGGUUAAGCUGUUAACUUUGUUUUAGUUUCUUGGUGCUUGCUUGGAGAUAAAUUCGUUAGGGGUUGAGGUCUUUAGCUAAGAUCCUUGUUACACCAUUUUCUUCAAUCUGAAAAAUAUUCAC